AUGAACGCUGGCGGCGUGCCUAAUACAUGCAAGUCGAGCGAACAGACGAGGAGCUUGCUCCUCUGACGUUAGCGGCGGACGGGUGAGUAGCACGUGGAUAACCUACCUAUAAGACUGGGAUAACUUCGGGAAACCGGAGCUAAUACCGGAUAAUAUAUUGAACCGCAUGGUUCAAUAGUGAAAGACGGUUUUGCUGUCACUUAUAGAUGGAUCCGCGCCGCAUUAGCUAGUUGGUAAGGUAACGGCUUACCAAGGCAACGAUGCGUAGCCGACCUGAGAGGGUGAUCGGCCACACUGGAACUGAGACACGGUCCAGACUCCUACGGGAGGCAGCAGUAGGGAAUCUUCCGCAAUGGGCGAAAGCUUGACGGAGCAACGCCGCGUGAGUGAUGAAGGUCUUCGGAUCGUAAAACUCUGUUAUUAGGGAAGAACAAAUGUGUAAGUAACUAUGCACGUCUUGACGGUACCUAAUCAGAAAGCCACGGCUAACUACGUG
rnacentral:rRNA from 1 species